rnacentral:rRNA from 1 species
ACCGAGUCUUAACUGGGCGUUAAGUUGCAGGGUAUAGACCCGAAACCCGGUGAUCUAGCCAUGGGCAGGUUGAAGGUUGGGUAACACUAACUGGAGGACCGAACCGACUAAUGUUGAAAAAUUAGCGGAUGACUUGUGGCUGGGGGUGAAAGGCCAAUCAAACCGGGAGAUAGCUGGUUCUCCCCGAAAGCUAUUUAGGUAGCGCCUCGUGAAUUCAUCUCCGGGGGUAGAGCACUGUUUCGGCAAGGGGGUCAUCCCGACUUACCAACCCGAUGCAAACUGCGAAUACCGGAGAAUGUUAUCACGGGAGACACACGGCGGGUGCUAACGUCCGUCGUGAAGAGGGAAACAACCCAGACCGCCAGCUAAGGUCCCAAAGUCAUGGUUAAGUGGGAAACGAUGUGGGAAGGCCCAGACAGCCAGGAUGUUGGCUUAGAAGCAGCCAUCAUUUAAAGAAAGCGUAAUAGCUCACUGGUCGAGUCGGCCUGCGCGGAAGAUGUAACGGGGCUAAACCAUGCACCGAAGCUGCGGCAGCGACACUAUGUGUUGUUGGGUAGGGGAGCGUUCUGUAAGCCUGUGAAGGUGUACUGUGAGGUAUGCUGGAGGUAUCAGAAGUGCGAAUGCUGACAUAAGUAACGAUAAAGCGGGUGAAAAGCCCGCUCGCCGGAAGACCAAGGGUUCCUGUCCAACGUUAAUCGGGGCAGGGUGAGUCGACCCCUAAGGCGAGGCCGAAAGGCGUAGUCGAUGGGAAACAGGUUAAUAUUCCUGUACUUGGUGUUACUGCGAAGGGGGGACGGAGAAGGCUAUGUUGGCCGGGCGACGGUUGUCCCGGUUUAAGCGUGUAGGCUGGUUUUCCAGGCAAAUCCGGAAAAUCAAGGCUGAGGCGUGAUGACGAGGCACUACGGUGCUGAAGCGACAAAUGCCCUGCUUCCAGGAAAAGCCUCUAAGCAUCAGGUAACAUCAAAUCGUACCCCAAACCGACACAGGUGGUCAGGUAGAGAAUACCAAGGCGCUUGAGAGAACUCGGGUGAAGGAACUAGGCAAAAUGGUGCCGUAACUUCGGGAGAAGGCACGCUGAUAUGUAGGUGAAGCGACUUGCUCGUGGAGCUGAAAUCAGUCGAAGAUACCAGCUGGCUGCAACUGUUUAUUAAAAACACAGCACUGUGCAAACACGAAAGUGGACGUAUACGGUGUGACGCCUGCCCGGUGCCGGAAGGUUAAUUGAUGGGGUUAGCGGUAACGCGAAGCUCUUGAUCGAAGCCCCGGUAAACGGCGGCCGUAACUAUAACGGUCCUAAGGUAGCGAAAUUCCUUGUCGGGUAAGUUCCGACCUGCACGAAUGGCGUAAUGAUGGCCAGGCUGUCUCCACCCGAGACUCAGUGAAAUUGAACUCGCUGUGAAGAUGCAGUGUACCCGCGGCAAGACGGAAAGACCCCGUGAACCUUUACUAUAGCUUGACACUGAACAUUGAGCCUUGAUGUGUAGGAUAGGUGGGAGGCUUUGAAGUGUGGACGCCAGUCUGCAUGGAGCCGACCUUGAAAUACCACCCUUUAAUGUUUGAUGUUCUAACGUGGGCCCCUUACCGGGGUUGCGGACAGUGUCUGGUGGGUAGUUUGACUGGGGCGGUCUCCUCCUAAAGAGUAACGGAGGAGCACGAAGGUUGGCUAAUCCUGGUCGGACAUCAGGAGGUUAGUGCAAUGGCAUAAGCCAGCUUGACUGCGAGCGUGACGGCGCGAGCAGGUGCGAAAGCAGGUCAUAGUGAUCCGGUGGUUCUGAAUGGAAGGGCCAUCGCUCAACGGAUAAAAGGUACUCCGGGGAUAACAGGCUGAUACCGCCCAAGAGUUCAUAUCGACGGCGGUGUUUGGCACCUCGAUGUCGGCUCAUCACAUCCUGGGGCUGAAGUAGGUCCCAAGGGUAUGGCUGUUCGCCAUUUAAAGUGGUACGCGAGCUGGGUUUAGAACGUCGUGAGACAGUUCGGUCCCUAUCUGCCGUGGGCGCUGGAGAACUGAGGGGGGCUGCUCCUAGUACGAGAGGACCGGAGUGGACGCAUCACUGGUGUUCGGGUUGUCAUGCCAAUGGCACUGCCCGGUAGCUAAAUGCGGAAGAGAUAAGUGCUGAAAGCAUCUAAGCACGAAACUUGCCCCGAGAUGAGUUCUCCCUGACUCUUUAAGGGUCCUGAAGGAACGUUGAAGACGACGACGUUGAUAGGCCGGGUGUGUAAGCGCAGCGAUGCGUUGAGCUAACCGGUACUAAUGAACCGUGAGGCUUAACCUUACAACGCCGAAG